rnacentral:rRNA from 1 species
UUUUACGGAGAGUUUGAUCCUGGCUCAGGACGAACGCUGGCGGCGUGCCUAACACAUGCAAGUCGAACGGUCCGGUCGUCGGUCAUCAGUGGUCAGUCUUCAGGAUAGAAG